rnacentral:rRNA from 1 species
GACGAACGCUGGCGGCGUGCUUAAUACAUGCAAGUCGAACGGAAGGACGCGGAGCUUGCUUCUUGGUUGUUAGCCGCGGACGGGUGUGUCACGUGAGGAACCCCUCCCUAACAGACGGGGAACACCACGGGACACCGGCGCAUACCCCGGAUAAUCUCUUGCACCGCGUGGUUCAAUAGAGAGAGACGGUCUUGGUGUCUCUAAUAGCUGGAUACGCGCUGCAUUGGCUAGUUGGUACGGUAACGGCUUACCAAGGCAACGAUGCGUAACCGACCUGACAGGGUGGUCGGCCACACGGGAACGGAGACACGGACCAGACGCCUACGGGAGGCAGCAGUAGGGAAUCUUCCGCAAUGGGCGAAAGCCUGACGGAACGACGCCGCGUGAGUGAUGGAGGUCUUCGGAUCGUAAAACUCGGUUAUGAGUGAAGAACAUAUUUGUAAGUAACUGUGCACAUCGUGACGGUACCGAAUCAGAAAGCCACGGCUAACUACGUG